rnacentral:rRNA from 1 species
AACGAACGCUGGCGGCAUGUCUAACACAUGCAAGUCGAACGAGACCUUCGGGUCUAGUGGCGCACGGGUGCGUAACGCGUGGGAACCUGCCCUUAGGUUCGGAAUAACUCCCCGAAAGGGGUGCUAAUACCGGAUAAUGUCUUCGGACCAAAGAUUUAUCGCCUUUGGAUGGGUCCGCGUUGGAUUAGCUAGUUGGUAGGGUAAAAGCCUACCAAGGCGACGAUCCAUAGCUGGUCUGAGAGGAUGAUCAGCCACACUGGGACUGAGACACGGCCCAGACUCCUACGGGAGGCAGCAGUGGGGAAUAUUGGACAAUGGGCGAAAGCCUGAGCCAGCAAUGCCGCGUGAGUGAUGAAGGCCUUAGGGUUGUAAAGCUCUUUUACCCGGGAUGAUAAUGACAGUACCGGGAGAAUAAGCUCCGGCUAACUCCGUG